AUGUUAUACUCUGGUUUCUCUUCAAAUCGUAUAAAUCUUUCGCCUUUUACUAAAGAUUUCCGUGGAGAGAAACGAGUGUGAGUCUGAAACCAAUUUUUUGAGGCCUUGCGUUUCUUAGCAGGGCUUAUUUUAAGUGUUUUAAAAACAGAUGCGAUUCCGUUAAAUCGCGUGUGGAGCUAUGUAAAGUGUAUUAUAGAACAAAUGCGAGUUACGGUUUUUCAGCUUUUCGCUUUGUUAAGCAGAGAUGGGGUUUCACCAUGUUGGCCAGGCUGGUCUCGAACUCCUGACGCUUACCAUUAACCAUCACAAGCUGUUAGCAGAGAACUUCAAAGAGGAACCAGGAGUACGGGAAGAGCAUGAAAGUGGACAAGGAGCGUGACCAUGGAAGCACAGCACCACAGGGAGGGGUUUAGGCCUCCGGAUGACUGCGGGCAGGCCUGGAUAAUAUCCAGCCUCCCACAAGAAGCUGGUGGAGCAGAGUGUUCCCUGACUCCUCCAAGGAAACGGAGACUCCCUUUCACGGUUUGCUAAGUAACGGGUGCCUUCCCAGGCACUGGCAUUACCACUUGACCAAGGAGCCCUCAAGCGGCCCUGAUGCAGGUGUGACAGAGGGCUCACCUCUUGCCUUCUUGGUCACUUCUCACAAUGUCCCUUCAGCCCCUGUCCCUAUACCCGCCGGUUAUUCCUUGGUUAUACAACAAAGAGUAAUAUUAAAAGUUAAUGAUUAAUAAUGUUUAUACUAA
rnacentral:lncRNA from 1 species